rnacentral:sRNA from 1 species
GACAUUGAUGUUUUGGGCUUUAAGGGCCA